AUUGAACGCUGGCGGCAGGCCUAACACAUGCAAGUCGAGCGAGCGGCGGACGGGUGAGUAAUGUAUGGGGACUGCCCGAUAGAGGGGGAUAACUCCUGGCAACGGUGGCUAAUACCGCAUACUAUCGGAUAACCCAUAUGGGAUUAGCUAGUAGGUGGGGUAAAGGCUCACCUAGGCGACGAUCUCUAGCUGGUCUGAGAGGAGGAUCAUGCACACUGGUACUGAGACACGGCCCAGACUCCUACGGAGGCAGCAGUGGGGAAUAUUGAACAAGGGGCGCAAGCCUGAUGCAGCCAUGCCGCGGGUAUGAAGAAGGCCUGAGGAUUGUAAAGUAAGUGCAGCGGGGUGGCGUUACCCGCAGAAGAUGCACGGGCUAACGCCGUGUCAGCAGCCGCGGUAAUUC
rnacentral:rRNA from 1 species